UACGUAGGGUGCAAGCGUUGUCCGGAAUUAUUGGGCGUAAAGAGCUCGUAGGCGGCCACUCAAGUCGAAUGUGAAACCUCGAGGCUUAACCUCGAGCCUGCAUUCGAUACUGGGGCGGCUAGAGUCUGGUAGGGGGAUCUGGAAUUCCUGGGUGUAGCGGUGGAAUGCGCAGAUAUCAGGAGGAACACCGGUGGCGAAGGCGGGAUCCUGGGCCAGUACGUGACGCUGAGGAGCGAAAGCGUGAGGAGCAACAGG
rnacentral:rRNA from 1 species